rnacentral:rRNA from 1 species
AACGAACGCUGGCGGCAGGCUUAACACAUGCAAGUCGAGCGCCGUAGCAAUACGGAGCGGCAGACGGGUGCGUAACACGUGGGAACAUACCCUUUGGUUCGGAAUAACUCAGGGAAACUUGAGCUAAUACCGGAUAAGUGCGAGAGCAGAAAGAUUUAUCGCCGAAGGAUUGGCCCGCGUCUGAUUAGCUAGUUGGUAGGGUAACGGCCUACCAAGGCUACGAUCAGUAGCUGGUCUGAGAGGAUGAUCAGCCACACUGGGACUGAGACACGGCCCAGACUCCUACGGGAGGCAGCAGUGGGGAAUAUUGGACAAUGGGCGAAAGCCUGAUCCAGCCAUGCCGCGUGAGUGAUGAAGGCCUUAGGGUUGUAAAGCUCUUUUACCC